UAGAGUUUGAUCCUGGCUCAGAUUGAACGCUAGCGGGAUGCCUUACACAUGCAAGUCGAACGGCAGCACGGACUUCGGUCUGGUGGCGAGUGGCGAACGGGUGAGUAAUGUAUCGGAACGUGCCCAGUAGCGGGGGAUAACUACGCGAAAGCGUAGCUAAUACCGCAUACGCCCUACGGGGGAAAGCAGGGGAUCGCAAGACCUUGCACUAUUGGAGCGGCCGAUAUCGGAUUAGCUAGUUGGUGGGGUAACGGCUCACCAAGGCGACGAUCCGUAGCUGGUUUGAGAGGACGACCAGCCACACUGGGACUGAAACACGGCCCAGACUCCUACGGGAGGCAGCAGUGGGGAAUUUUGGACAAUGGGGGAAACCCUGAUCCAGCCAUCCCGCGUGUGCGAUGAAGGCCUUCGGGUUGUAAAGCACUUUUGGCAGGAAAGAAACGUCAUGGGUUAAUACCCCGUGAAACUGACGGUACCUGCAGAAUAAGCACCGGCUAACUACGUGCCAGCAGCCGCGGUAAUACGUAGGGUGCAAGCGUUAAUCGGAAUUACUGGGCGUAAAGCGUGCGCAGGCGGUUCGGAAAGAAAGAUGUGAAAUCCCAGAGCUUAACUUUGGAACUGCAUUUUUAACUACCGGGCUAGAGUGUGUCAGAGGGAGGUGGAAUUCCGCGUGUAGCAGUGAAAUGCGUAGAUAUGCGGAGGAACACCGAUGGCGAAGGCAGCCUCCUGGGAUAACACUGACGCUCAUGCACGAAAGCGUGGGGAGCAAACAGGAUUAGAUACCCUGGUAGUCCACGCCCUAAACGAUGUCAACUAGCUGUUGGGGCCUUCGGGCCUUGGUAGCGCAGCUAACGCGUGAAGUUGACCGCCCGGGGAGUACGGUCGCAAGAUUAAAACUCAAAGGAAUUGACGGGGACCCGCACAAGCGGUGGAUGAUGUGGAUUAAUUCGAUGCAACGCGAAAAACCUUACCUACCCUUGACAUGUCUGGAAUGCCGAAGAGAUUUGGCAGUGCUCGCAAGAGAACCGGAACACAGGUGCUGCAUGGCUGUCGUCAGCUCGUGUCGUGAGAUGUUGGGUUAAGUCCCGCAACGAGCGCAACCCUUGUCAUUAGUUGCUACGAAAGGGCACUCUAAUGAGACUGCCGGUGACAAACCGGAGGAAGGUGGGGAUGACGUCAAGUCCUCAUGGCCCUUAUGGGUAGGGCUUCACACGUCAUACAAUGGUCGGGACAGAGGGUCGCCAACCCGCGAGGGGGAGCCAAUCCCAGAAACCCGAUCGUAGUCCGGAUCGCAGUCUGCAACUCGACUGCGUGAAGUCGGAAUCGCUAGUAAUCGCGGAUCAGCAUGUCGCGGUGAAUACGUUCCCGGGUCUUGUACACACCGCCCGUCACACCAUGGGAGUGGGUUUUACCAGAAGUAGUUAGCCUAACCGCAAGGGGGGCGAUUACCACGGUAGGAUUCAUGACUGGGGUGAAGUCGUAACAAGGUAACCA
rnacentral:rRNA from 1 species